GACGAACGCUGGCGGCGUGCUUAACACAUGCAAGUCGAACGGAAAGGCCCUGCUUUUGUGGGGUGCUCGAGGGGCGAACGGGUGAGUAACACGUGAGUAACCUGCCCUUGACUUUGGGAUAACUUCAGGAAAGUGGGGCUAAUAACGGAUAGGAGCUCCUGCUGCAUGGUGGGGGGUGGAAAGUUUCGGCGGUUGGGGAUGGACUCGCGGCUUAUCAGCUUGUUGGUGGGGUAGUGGCUUACCAAGGCUUUGACGGGUAGCCGGCCUGAGAGGGUGACCGGCCACCUUGGGACUGCGAUACGGCCCAGACUCCUACAGGAGGCAGCAGUGGCGAAUAUUGCACAAUGGGCGGAAGCCUGAUGCAGCAACGCCGCGUGCGGGAUGACGGCCUUCGGGUUGUAAACCGCUUUCGCCUGUGACGAAGCGUGAGUGACGGUAAUGAGUAAAGAAGCACCGGCUAACUACGUG
rnacentral:rRNA from 1 species